GGAAGUGGCGGCACGCUGCCGUGGCCAUCGUUGGAUUCUUCACAGUGUCACCAUGUACUUGUUGCUUUAAAAAAUACAGAUGCCAGUUUCACUUAAGAAUGUCCCUGACAAAGCUGUAUGAAUUAAUUUUAUUCAGCCUCAACUCUUGCAUACACAACUUUUUGUGACAAAAUGGAAGCUGUGCAUGAAGCACUUUUGCUUCAUAGCUGUCUUGAGGAAAAACACUUGAGCAGUUUCUUCAGCUGAACUCACCACUUUUUUAUGGACAACCAUUUCACUUGAAAGUACAAGUGGCAAAUGAUUCAGACUUGAGUAUUUAGUAGACAUUUUCUUGAAAGCAGCUUGCCGCCUGCUUUCUAAUUGGGACAGCGGUUGCAUUGUCUCAUCAGCAACUCACAUUCCAGAAACUGAUGGGAACUAAUCACACAGGGACCAGGCGCAGGUCACACAGCAAGAACUCAUUCCACAGGCACAGGAAGUGCCCCGAGCUCUGCCCAUGGAGUUAGGAGUUAUGCACGGGUGAAGAGCAAUGUCGCCAUCCACACAGACAGGAGAGGGGCAGGUGGAAAGGAAGUGCCAGUCACUAAGAAUUGCUGACACUUAUCAGGUGCCUACCAGGAAGCAGCCCCUUUGUCCUCAUAAGGCGUUUUUCAGCAAAGCUGCCCUGAAUCUGCCCAGCAUGCCAGCCACCUGCAUAUCAAGGGACAGAAAUGGACCAUGUGGUGGGCCGAGAGUGUCUUUCCCCAAGCUAGAGAGGACAGGAAAGUGACAAGCAUGUCAGUUCAUGCCACAGCUUCACCAGGGGCUAGAGCUUUUGCAUCCCUCUUUCCUGGAGAGGCCAGCUGAAGAUCGGAACUUAAGAGAAGUCAGAGGCUCCUGCUGAAAAAGGCCACCGUGUGGUGUGUGUUUGCUGGUGGGAGAUUAGGAGGAUGGUGCACAGAACCAUCAAUGAGGAAUCCACUGGGGAAGAUGGUGCAAGGUAGGAAGAGCUAGGCUUCCACGCUUGCCAAAAGAUGACAUCCGCCGCUGCCAAAGGACAAGAGGAAGAUGGGGUUCCCUGCGAAAUCCCUUUCCUUUCCAAGAAGGCAAUAAAAUCAUGUAGUGGUUCAUUUUAA